AGAGUUUGAUCAUGGCUCAGGACGACGCUGGCGGCGCGCUUAACACAUGCAAGUCGAGCGAGAGCCAGUCCUUCGGGACUGGGGACAGCGGCGAACGGGUGAGUAACACGUGGGUAAUCUGCCCUCGAUUCUGGGAUAGCCCGGGGAAACCCGGAUUAAUACCGGAUAGCCUCUCUGGUCUUCGGGCCGGCGAGAAAAGGUAGCUUCGGCCUCCGAUCGAGGAUGAGCCCGCGGCGGAUUAGCUUGUUGGUGGGGUAACGGCCUACCAAGGCGACGAUCCGUAGCUGGUCUGAGAGGACGAUCAGCCACACUGGGACUGAGACACGGCCCAGACUCCUACGGGAGGCAGCAGUGGGGAAUCUUGCGCAAUGGGCGAAAGCCUGACGCAGCGACGCCGCGUGGGGGAAGAAGGCCUUCGGGUUGUAAACCUCUUUCAGCAGGGACGAAGCCCCUCGGGUGAAUAGCCCAGAGGGUGACGGUACCUGCAGAAGAAGCCCCGGCUAACUACGUGCCAGCAGCCGCGGUAAUACGUAGGGGGCAAGCGUUGUCCGGAUUUAUUGGGCGUAAAGAGCGUGUAGGCGGCCAGACAGGUCCGUUGUGAAAACUAGAGGCUCAACCUCUAGACGUCGAUGGAAACCGUCUGGCUAGAGUCCGGAAGAGGAGAGUGGAAUUCCUGGUGUAGCGGUGAAAUGCGCAGAUAUCAGGAAGAACACCCGUGGCUAAGGCGGCUCUCUAGUACGGUACUGACGCUGAGACGCGAAAGCGUGGGGAGCGAACAGGAUUAGAUACCCUGGUAGUCCACGCCGUAAACGAUGGGUGCUAGGUGUGGGGGGUGUCGACUCCCUCCGUGCCGAAGCUAACGCAUUAAGCACCCCGCCUGGGGAGUACGGCCGCAAGGCUAAAACUCAAAGGAAUUGACGG
rnacentral:rRNA from 1 species